GGCGGACGCUGGCGGCGCGCCUAACACAUGCAAGUCGAACGGUGAACCGGGCUUCGGCCCGGGGAUCAGUGGCGAACGGGUGCGUAACCCGUGGGCAACCUGCCCCCGACCCUGGGAUAACCCCGGGAAACCGGAGCUAAUACCGGAUACUCUCCUCCGACCGCUUGGUCGAGGGAGGAAAGGUCCGCCGGUCGGGGAUGGGCCCGCGGCCUAUCAGCUUGUUGGUGGGGUAACGGCCUACCAAGGCGACGACGGGUAGCUGGUCUGAGAGGACGACCAGCCACACUGGGACUGAGACACGGCCCAGACUCCUACGGGAGGCAGCAGUGGGGAAUCUUGCGCAAUGGGCGAAAGCCUGACGCAGCGACGCCGCGUGGGGGACGAAGGCCUUUCAGGUCGUAAACCCCUUUCGGCAGGGACGAAGCGAUCUCGUGACGGUACCUGCAGAAGAAGCCUCGGCUAACUACGUGCCAGCCGCCGCCGUAAAAC
rnacentral:rRNA from 1 species